GGUGCUUUAGAGAAGUGGUUAACUCACUCCCUUCGGGCUCAAGCUAAUGUGGGAGAGAUCGGGGGUUCGAAUCCCCCAAGCACCC